ACUGGACUUUCCCACUUGCCUGGCAGGAGUGAGACAGAUCACUGUGUGCAAAAUGAGCAUUUGAGAGAAAAUUUGGAAUUCAUUAAUAUAAAAAGAAAUAGGAAGGAGUGAGGUAUGAAGUACACAAUAAGCAGAGUGAAGUAGAGUGCCAUUUAUCAAACACCGGCCAGGUCUGUAAUCUUCUGUUUUAUCCUUUCUUUGUACUUUAUUUGCCUUUAUUGUUGCAAAGAGGGAUAUUCACCCAGAGCAGUGGGCAUGAAGCCCUGAUAAACCUCCUCUUUCCCGUCUUUCCCUCCACUUACUCCUUCUUGUCAGCCUUGUCAGUAUAAUUUGUUUAUUUCCUUCUAG
rnacentral:lncRNA from 1 species